UACGUAGGGUGCAAGCGUUAUCCGGAAUUAUUGGGCGUAAAGAGCUCGUAGGCGGUUUGUCGCGUCUGCUGUGAAAACUGGAGGCUCAACCUCCAGCCUGCAGUGGGUACGGGCAAACUAGAGUGCGGUAGGGGAGAUUGGAAUUCCUGGUGUAGCGGUGAAAUGCGCAGAUAUCAAGGAGGAACACCGGUGGCGAAGGCGGGUCUCUGGGCCGUAACUGACGCUGAGGAGCGAAAGCGUGGGGGAGCGAACAGG
rnacentral:rRNA from 1 species